CGGCUGUUGAUCCCAUGCCGUGAGGACGGGAGACUCCAGUUUUUCAACGUCCUUCAUGAAGUGCGGAUACCAGAUGUGGAUACAGUAUUUCAGUAGCAGUUGCACCAAUGCUGAAUACAGAGUGCUCAAUAUCUGUGUUGAGAAAGUGGUAUCAUCAAAGGGGUUGCGAAUCCAGUCAUUAUCGCCUGACAUAGCUGGAAAUAUUCCCUG